rnacentral:rRNA from 1 species
GUAAGGAAUAUUGGUCAAUGGACGAAAGUCUGAACCAGCCAUGCCGCGUGAAGGAUGAAGGCCCUCUGGGUUGUAAACUUCUUUUAUCUGGGACGAAAAAAGGGUAUUCUUACUCACUUGACGGUACCAGAGGAAUAAGCACCGGCUAACUCCGUGCCAGCAGCCGCGGUAAUACGAAGGGUGCAAGCGUUAUCCGGAUUCACUGGGUUUAAAGGGUGCGUAGGUGGGUAUUUAAGUCAGUGGUGAAAUCUCCGAGCUUAACUCGGAAACUGCCAUUGAUACUAUUUACCUUGAAUGCCCUGGAGGUAAGCGGAAUAUGUCAUGUAGCGGUGAAAUGCUUAGAUAUGACAUAGAACACCAAUUGCGAAGGCAGCUUACUACGGGGUGAUUGACACUGAGGCACGAAAGCGUGGGGAGCAAAUGGGAUUAGAAACCCCUGUAGUCCU